rnacentral:rRNA from 1 species
AGAGUUUGAUCCUGGCUCAGAACGAACGCUGGCGGCAUGCCUAACACAUGCAAGUCGAACGGGAGCCCGGCUUCGGCCGGUCACUCUAGUGGCGAACGGGUGAGUAACGCGUGGGAACCUGCCCUUCAGUUCGGAAUAACCACGGGAAACUGUGGCUAAUACCGUAUACGCCCUCCGGGGGAAAGAUUUAUCGCUGAAGGAUGGGCCCGCGUCGGAUUAGCUAGUUGGUAGGGUAACGGCCUACCAAGGUGACGAUCCGUAGCUGGUCUGAGAGGAUGAUCAGCCACACUGGGACUGAGACACGGCCCAGACUCCUACGGGAGGCAGCAGUGGGGAAUAUUGGACAAUGGGGGCAACCCUGAUCCAGCAAUGCCGCGUGUGUGAAGAAGGCCUUAGGGUUGUAAAG